GCGGACGCUUAGAUCUCAGGGCCGGCGCUUAAUUAGGGGCGAAACGGAAAGCAGAUGCAGCGCAGUGUAGCAUCAACAUUUCUGAGGCUCAAGGAGGUAGGGCCUGAGAGCUAAGUGCUAAUUCUGUUUUGUAGUGAUCAUAGCUAAUGAGGUAAUAAUGGUAAUUAUAGUAAGUCAGGCAUUGUGUCCUAAAUGUUAUAACUUUUACUUGACUCGGCAAAUAUGACUGCACAAAGUAAGGGAAGGCUGGAAAGGCAGAUGAGACAUUAACAAAUACAGCUAACCAAAUAUGCAUUUCUGUGACAACAGCGAAAAGCACACCGUCUGUAGCAAUGGAGUGAUAAUAUUGUACUGCAUACUAGUCAGGCCACACGUGGAGUACUGCAGUCCCUGUACCACACUUUUAAGAGAUUAUACGUGGAAUUUUGGAGCUCGGUCAAAGGUGAGCCGCCAGAUAAGGGUUGGUGGAAGGAGGCGAAGAGAGAUCACUCCGAACAUGACAUCUGUCUUCAUGUGAAAGAAUGGGUAGAACUGAUGUGGCCCCGAGAGUUAUCUGUAGGGCAAAGGACUGGAAGUUAAAUGAAGAUAGAUUUUAACUGAAAACAAAGAUCAAUUCUUUUAGAGUCUGAAGAAGGAUUAUUUUAGGAAGUAACUCCCUCUUCCCCCUUCCCACCAUGUUGCAGUGGAUCAAAUAUACACUGAAUCACUACCUCAUGUAUUCAACACUUAUUUCAUGUAGGCUUAAUGCAUUGCUGUGGUGCUUGUUCUGCCGCUGAUGUGGGGCCAGCUAGUCUUUGUAGUUCCUGUAGUCUCAGUUCUGCAAACUGGCCCCAGUCCAGGAAAUCACCCUAUGUAGGAGUGGCUACAGUUAAGACCCAGAAAGACAAUCCUGAGGGGACCUGACAUCCAGCUUCUGUGUUCCGACUAUUACAGUUUGAAUAAGUGACCCGCAGAUUCAUUACACACAAGGGAAUGUGUCUUCCUUUCAUUGGAUUGAACUCUGUCAUACCAACUACCUGUAAGAUGUCAAUCCCUGAUCCAGAAUUUCAAGGAGCUGUGGAGGCAGCUCUACUGUGGGAGUGUCAUAAACCAGAGACCUUUGUGUCCUGGCUAUAUCUAUUAGGGAAGCAGCAGUUGACAUUUUGAAAUAGCUAUUAUCUUCAAGGAAGCCUCACCUCCCUAAUGAGAGAGUUUAUUCUCUCCACAGUGGUCGGGGCAGUCUGAGAGAAAAUGACCAACAGAAUAUGAUGGAAUUGAUGGUACGUGACUUCUUCCAAGUUUAGGUCAUAAAAGACACUAAAGUUUCUGCUUUGGCCUCUUGAAUCACUUUCUCUGGGGGAAACCAGCUACUGGGUCAUAAAGACACUCAAGCAGCCCCAUAGAGGGGCCCAAGUGGAGAGAAACCACUUGCCAGCAUUAUCUUGGUGGUCAUGCAGCUGUGUGAAUGAGUGGAUCCUACCAUCCUGGUCAAACCUCUGCUAACUGAAGGCCCCACCUAUAUUUGACUGCAGUCUUCUGAGAGACCUCCAAGCUGCUCUAGAAUUCCUGACCUACAGAAACUGUGAGGGAUAAUAUAUGUUUGUUGUUUUAAGCCAGUACAUUUUGGAGUAAUUUGCUACCCAGCAAUAUACAACGAAUACAGAAGUCAUCACAGGUAAUAUUUUUAUUAAAUAAUUGCAUGGCACAAACCUGGGUCUCCAUCUUUGUAGGCUUUGAUUUUUGUUUCUAUACCACUCACUGACUGUUAAGCCACAUAUUUUAGGUUUUUGUUAUAAUCACACCUAACCUCAAUGUACCCUUUGGUUAGGUGUGCAAUAGAUAACGCUAGAUACUAGAACAGAUAAAUCUUGACAUCUGAGUGGAUUAAUAUAAUAAACGUUUAUUUUUCAUUUCAUAUAAGGUCUAAAAGUCCAAUUAAUGGAAAUUGGCAGGGUAGGAAGCCCUCUGAUCCACAACAUCCAAAAACUGACUGACAUCUUCAUUACAAGGCUUCCAAGGUUGCUAGGGUGACAGCAUCUUUAAUAUGUGGCUUCUGGGGUUGUGCUAGGUGACAACAUCCAGUAAUUCAUAUGAAAAUAUCUUUUUCUUCCUUUAUUUGUGACAAAGAAAGUUUGCUUUAUUUCAAGCUGGAAACUCCUGGGACCUUCAGGGAACCUCUUCCUCAGCUACAUGCCUCUGUAGUGUCAGCUUGCUCUACUGCUGGGGAGUGCUUGGCUGAUUACCUUCUUCCUGCCCUGGGAGAUGUUUCAGGAAUCAUUCAUUCAUUCAGCAAACAUUACAACGUUCCAGGCACUGUGCCAAGUACUGAGUAUUCAUUGAUAUAGGAUAAAAUCUCUGUCCUAAAGUUGCUUGCAGUCAGAUGGGAGAAAAGCAAGUAAAUACAAUGAUUUGGUAAGUGCUGUGAUAGAAUGGGCACAAAAGUACUGAGAGAUCGUAAAAGUGGGAGCAACUGACUUUUCUUGGGAAGUUUGUAAACUUGCAUAAAGAGGAAGACAACUGAGCUGACUCUUGUAGGAUGAGAAGAAGCUGACCACAGGAAAAAUGCUGGACAGAGCACAGAGUCCUGAAACAAUGUGACAUUCAUCAGUAUCUGCCAGGACUAUCCAUAUUGGGUUACUGGCCAAUAGUUCUGUAAGGCUGGGGCUCAGGAAUGUGUAGACAAAUGUGAGAGGUGAGACUAGAAAGGUGGUGUACUAGUUGGGCUGUGUUAGCAAGAGAUGAUUUUGGCUAUGUUAAAUUUAAAAAAAAUAAAAAGAAACUCUGGGGUAGCUUAGAAAAUUGAAGGAAGGCUGAAGAACCAUGAUCUGAAAGAUGUGGAGCCAAACAUUUCCUGGAAAUCUAGGUAAGAAGAAACUAAUUGUGAAUAUUUCUUCAGGAGCCAAGAUAAAUGAAUUCCAACCAAUUUUCAGUUUCGUUGUUGCUCCUAUUGAGGAUUCACAUUCCAGGGAGAGAGUGUCUGAUUGGCCCAUUUGGGUGAAAAAACCUGACCCUUAACCGUGAGAUGCUAGGGGUUCAUCAAGACUACAUCUAACUGAGGAAGGAUGUUUCCCAUAGAUGAAAUGGAGAUUAUAAAAGAAGGAGAAUACAUUCUGCUCAGGUAAAAACAGUUGUAGUUUCUAGGUGGGUUGGAGUCAGUAACGAAGGGCUUCGUAAGUCAUGUUAAAAAAAAUCUAGAAUUUAUUCGGUAGGCAAUGAAGAGCCAUAGAAGGAAUUUGAGCAGAGAAGUAACAUGAUAAAUCCCAGACAAAAGCUUUCGGCUAAUUUGAUUUUGUUAUGAGUUUAUUUUUAUCUGUAAUGAACAAAUUUAACUCUUUCUAUAGUUCUUAUUGACAUGGAAGAGAACAAAUAUCAUUCUACCAUUCCUUUCCAUAGUCCAAACAAAUACACCUUUUAUUUUUUCCUGAGAUUUGUGUAGUGAAUGGGCCGGGGGGGUGGGGGGGAGAAAUGGACCAAAUCUCCAUUGAUCAAGAAAGUUUUCAUGUUCUUUCUGAAUCAGAUUCUCUUCCCUCCCACACAGUGAUGUGCUAGAGCUGGUUUGUACUGGCUGGCGAGAGUUGUUUGCUAAAUUUUCAGGAAUUCUGUGAGUCAUUUGUUAAGGAUAGUCAUUAUUAACAAUUAAGUUAUAUAAAUUUAAACAAAAAAGAUAUGAAACACAAAGGUGUAAUAAAUAUUGAAAGCUGACCACUUCCUAAA